GCUCCCGUGGCGCAGGGUGCGCACUCCCUCCAGGUGACCCUUGGAGACCGCCUUCGUUUCGGGGAGGCCAAGGGUUCGAUUCCCUGCGGGUGCA